GGGGAUGGACAUACCUCUGGUGUACCAGUUGUCGUGCCAACGGCAUAGCUGGGUAGCUAUGUAUGGACGGGAUAAGUGCUGAAAGCAUCUAAGCAUGAAGCCCCCCCUCAAGAUGAGAUUUCCCAACUUCGGUUAUAAGAUCCCUCGAAGAUGACGAGGUUAAUAGGUUCGAGGUGGAAGCGUGGUGACACGUGGAGCUGACGAAUACUAAUCGAUCGAAGACUUAAUCAA
rnacentral:rRNA from 1 species